GCCUUGCCAGUUCAGCUCUAGUAUUCCCGGAUCUACCCUUCAUGGAUUCCCCCUCGAUCUUUUGGACUCCAGGUCCGCCUAGAUCGCUCUGCGAUCUUUAUCCUGAUAUCAGACUUGAUAAUCGAAGUUCAACACCGUGAUUUCACGGUCUGUUAUCUUAUUUGAUCGGAGAUCGCUCCUGAGAUACGGCGGAGCUCUGUUUCGAAAGCUCUAAUUCUCAAAGGAUAUAUCUAGUUGGUGUAUGAGCAGCAGAUGAUUCGAGAUUUCACUUGAAGGCGGGGGCGAUAGAACAAUUACAGAAUCUCUGUUGCUUGAUGAUGUGACCGUGGACCGUGGGCUGUGAUUUUGUUGAUUGAUUAAGGAGCGAUGGAAGGAGAUAGGGGGUGGAGCUGUGUGGUUUAUUUACGAGGAUGAUGUAUAAGAUAUAUAUACCGGGACUAAAAGGCCAGGAGGCUGAGAGGUCUUGUUUAUUAUCUGUCAUCCGACCUUUGCCAUGACAGCCUGAGAUCACGCGGCUCUUUCACGUGGAACUCCAACUCCAGCUUAGCUGCCAGUUCAUCAAUUGCACAAUAUUGCAAUCUGUGAGGCUGACUCGAAAGGUAUUCUCUCACUUAUAUCUCCAAUACGAAUUUCCUUAAUUUUUAGAAUCAAUCAAUCAGUCAUACUUACAUAACUUAGAAUCAGUCAUUUGCAAGAGAUCAUGAUUCGUUGUUUAUGUAGAUAAUAUGGGAUCACUAAGAGAUUGCGCAUCUAAAACUAGUUUCAGCUUUGGAAACUAGCAGUUCCCUAUGGUGGAGUUCUUGAAAAAAAACGCCCCACACACAACACACAUCCUGGAAAUUGAUUUUGAUCUUUUAUCGGGAUUACUCUAGUCUCCGAUCAGGAGUUUUUGCCUGCACCAAGCAUCUGUUCAUUCUAACAUCCCACUAUAACUAGUCAUCAUUCUUUACCGACAGUGCAGGUUCAUUUCAUUUUCAUGCCUUGAAAUUCAAAUCAUAUUGUAUUUAUAUCCACUGAAGAAUUCAGAUUUGCUAUCAGAGCUAACCUGGUCAUGAGUUUUAUUUACUAGAUCUAGUUUCUCAAUUUCUAGCUCUUGUGAUACACUGAAAUCGGAGUUCCUUUCUUAAUCAGAUCCUUUUUACUGCCAUAAUUG
rnacentral:lncRNA from 1 species